AUGCACUCAGUGGACUUGAUUAACUGCAAGCUGUGAAGCCAGGAUCCACCCCUUCUCAGACCUCAUUUAAGGGUUGGCAGUGGAGGUGAGGGUUUCUCGUUGGAGAUCCCUGCCUACCUGAGGCCUUCUGGGCGUAAGUCUUAGGGCUUUUUAAUCAUCUCCUGAUUGUCCUGAAAGUAAUGACAGGGAAUGGAAGGAAGAGUUUCCAAAAUGAUCUGCUGGGCUGAUGUAGCACCAUCUUGAUGGGAGCCUCGAUGCAGCUGAACAAACCUUCACCUCAAACAGCCUAAUGUAUUGACUUUAUACGGGAGAACAGGGCUAUAAAAAUUGCAACCCUGUAUUGCUUCAACAGUGCUCCAGUGGUGAAGAUGGAUAUCAGCCUAAGCAAUAUAAAGGACUCCAAAUCUGCUUAGUGGCAUCUGAUGGCAUAUUUAGUGUUAGUACUCAGAUGGGCUUCACUACAAUGUUUUUUGAACACAUCUGCUAGUCUGUGAGCUUUCUUUAUUAAUGAACCACAAAGAGGCACUGGGAAUGAAUGUAUAGUUACAAGUGAUUGGUCUGCAAAUAUUUUUUUCUCCUUGUCUUUCAAAUUACCUGCUUAGUAUUUUAGGGAUUGCAACUUAGUGGGAGUGAUAUGCCUAAAGGCUGUCUGAGCGUCUGGAAAUCUCCUUCAUAAAGCAAUUCUCUGGUCAAGCUUUCAGUGCAUUUUAUAUGGGAGAGUUCUGUUGAUGCCUAUUCAGAGGCUGUCAUGUGCUUUAUGACUAUAUAUUGAUGCCUGAUAUGAAGACAGAGUCCAAAGAAUUUGCAAAACAUGGCACCUUGCUGUGUCUUUAAUGAGCUCGUGAAUCUUCAUCAUUGAUAUCCUAACCUGUCUUGUAUCUUUUAAAUAAAUUUUUCUAAACAGUUCUUAGGCAAGGUUUGAGUUAGGACUGUGGGUUUUACUGAAUUUCCGUUUUCACUGUUGUACUUCUCUACUUUUGAGGAUAUCAUUGUGUUGUGCAUAGCUGGUUGUAUUCCCAAGACUCAAGGAAACUAUUUCCUGGCUGUCAGGAUGAACAAAUGGCUCCUGUAAUACCUUCGAUCAUUUUCUUAUUUACAGACAAUUUUAUUUGUUUUACACUACCUGAAUUGCCUUUGUAGGUCUUCCAAAUGACACCAGCAUUCAAACACAUCUCUAGUAUUCAUCUGUUCUGUUUAAGUCCCUGUUGCUUGCUCCUUAUGUUCUUUUCUAUGAAAUUUGUAUGAGCCUAUAUAGGCAUGACUUCACAAACAGAAAAAUAAUUUUCAGAACUGAUUUUGUGGGGAAGUGGUAGUCCUGAAACAGGAAUAGCAUGACUGUAGUAAUAAGCCAAAUGCUGCUGUGCGGAACUUUACCCCUCACAGAGUUGUCCUUAUGGGAGACACCAGAACACAUGGUGGCUAGUUUAGUUAAGAGCAGAGGUAAAGAUGCGACGUUAGCUAUUCGUGCCAAGUAUUUCUCAGAAGAGUAGAUUAGGCAGUUGAUGCUCAGUGUGUGAUAUAGAUUUACUACGAUUAAUUUGUGAAGU